rfam:Gossypium raimondii Chr13_contig_262, whole genome shotgun sequence.
AAUCCAUGCAUCAGACAUUUUUGAAUUGAAUCUUUAAAUCAUUCCCAAGUUUUAUGUAGUGUUUCAUCCUCCAAUUUUUUAAAAGAUGCGAUAUCAUUUCUAAGCUU